CACCCAGACUCCUACGGGAGGCAGCAGUGGGGGAUAUUGCACAAUGGGGGGAACCCUGAUGCAGCGACGCCGCGUGGGUGAAGAAGCGCCUCGGCGCGUAAAGCCCUGUCAGCAGGGAAGAAAAUGACGGUACCUGAAGAAGAAGCCCCGGCUAACUACGUGCCAGCAGCCGCGGUAAUACGUAGGGAGCAAGCGUUAUCCGGAUUUACUGGGUGUAAAGGGCGCGUAGGCGGGAUGGCAAGUCAGAUGUGAAAUCCAAGGGCUCAACCCUUGAACUGCAUUUGAAACUGUCGUUCUUGAGUACUGGAGAGGUUGACGGAAUUCCUAGUGUAGCGGUGAAAUGCGUAGAUAUUAGGAGGAACACCAGUGGCGAAGGCGGCCUGCUGGACGGUGACUGACGCUGAGGCUCGAAAGCGUGGGGAGCAAACAGGAUUAGAUACCCUCGUAAA
rnacentral:rRNA from 1 species